UGCGCGUGGUCCCGAAGCCGCGGAGAGUCCAGCAGCAGCGACGAGGCGCGAGUGCGCGCUCAUGAUCCGGCACACGGCGCGGCGCGCGCGACCAGCAUCCCGUAUCCAGGCUUAACCAUCUUUUCUUCUGGCAGCUGUUACCAUUCCUACAUCUACCAACAGCAUUUCUCAGAACAAGAUCAAUAAAACUGAACUUUGGAUUCAUCAUGAAAGUGACAGAAGAAUGAAGAGUGCGUUUCCUGCUGAUGUGCUGGCCCAGAUUGAAGGAGAAGACGUCCAAGAAUUUUCUGCUGAACAAGAUGGAGGAGGAACUAAGAAGAGAAAGACUAGAGAAAGUCAGCAAGAACAGUGGAAGAUGGAAAGGAACAAACUGAUUUAUAGUUGAAAAGCUGG